rnacentral:rRNA from 1 species
ACUCCUGCGGGAGGCAGCAGUGGGGAAUUUUGGACAAUGGGCGAAAGCCUGAUCCAGCAAUGCCGCGUGAGUGAAGAAGGCCUUCGGGUUGUAAAGCUCUUUUGUCAGGGAAGAAACGGUGAAAGCUAAUAUCUUUUGCUAAUGACGGUACCUGAAGAAUAAGCACCGACUAACUACGUGCCAGCAGCCGCGGUAAUACGUAGGGUGCAAGCGUUAAUCGGAAUUACUGGGCGUAAAGCGUGCGCAGGCGGUUUUGUAAGUCUGAUGUGAAAUCCCCGGGCUCAACCUGGGAAUUGCAUUGGAGACUGCAAGGCUAGAAUCUGGCAGAGGGGGGUAGAAUUCCACGUGUAGCAGUGAAAUGCGUAGAUAUGUGGAGGAACACCGAUGGCGAAGGCAGCCCCCUGGGUCAAGAUUGACGCUCAUGCACGAAAGCGUGGGGAGCAAACAGGAUUAGAAACCCCUGUAGUCCCA